GACGUAGGGGGCGAGCGUUGUUCGGAAUUACUGGGCGUAAAGCGUGCGUAGGCGGACUUAUAAGUCAAGGUUGAAAUAUCCGGGCUCAACUCGGGGCACGGCCUUGAUACUGCAAGUCUUGAGUCAAGUAGAGGGUAAUGGAAUUCCCGGUGUAGCGGUGAAAUGCGUAGAUAUCAGGAGGAACACCGGUGGUGUAAACGGCUUUCUGGACCAUAACUGACGCUGAUGCACGAAAGCGUGGGUAGCAAACAGG
rnacentral:rRNA from 1 species